rnacentral:lncRNA from 1 species
UGAGCCUUCAUGUGGUUGUUGGGAAUUGAAUUUAGGACCUCUGCUCCCUUUGGUCAACCCCACUUGCUCAGGCCCAAAGAUUUAUUUCUUAUUAUACGUAAGGACACUGUAGCUGUCUUCAGACGCUCCAGAAAAGGGUGUCAGAUCUCAUUACAGGUGGUUGUGAGCCACCAUGUGGUUGCUGGGAUUUGAACUAAGGACCUUUGGAAGAGCAGUCAGUGCUCUUACCCGCUGAGCCAUCUCGCCAGCCCUCCUCCUUUCUUUUUAAAAACCGUGUCUUAUUCUGUAGUCCAAGCCUAUCUGGAACUUACUAUGUAGAUACUCUUGGCCCUGAAACCACCCUGGGCCCUGCCUCCUAGAUGUGAAGAUUACUGGAGUGAGCCUACAUAUGUUUACACCUCAACUUUUGAAGAUCCUGCCACAUCUGAAUACCUCCACUCUGGGCUCAAGCCUCCAGUCCAUGAGUCUUUGGGGGUGCUCAUUUAAACUACAUCCAAUCCAAAGCCUAAGGGCAGACUAGAGCCCUUACUGCAGAGAAUCUUGGUUGAGAUGUGUGUAGCAAAUGUUCAUGCCUGAUUUCAGUUCUUGGGAGGCUAAGGCAGAGGAUCACUGGUCCUAUAAUGAGUUCCAGACGAUCCUAGGCUAUAGAAUGAAACCCUGUCGAAAACAAAAGCCAAAGGGGAAAAGGAGGAAACCUGGUUGGUACUUGUCACUACGUGAUUCAGAGUUCACGUUAGCGGCCUUGAGACUUGACAGGAAGCAUGUGAUUAAACCACACGUACACCAGACAAACCAACUGAAAGAAAUUCUUCUAAUAAGUGGUCAAUAAUCUUUUUCUCUUUUUUUCCAUUUUGAGAUAAGACAAGGUCUUGAUAUAUAGCCCUGACUCGUUUGAAAAUUGUUGCAUAGAGCAGACAACUUCCAACUUGUGUGCUCUUCCUGCCUCUGGCUACGAAGUGUUGAGGUACUGGUACUGGAGGCACUCCUGGGUACUGGGGGUACUCCUGGGUACUGGAGGCACUCCUAGGUACUGGAGACACUCCUGGGUACUGGGGGUACUUCUGGGUACUGGAGGCACUCCUGGGUACUGGAGGUACUCCUGGGUACUGGGGGUACUCCUGGGUACUGGAGGUACUCCUGGGUACUGGAGGCACUCCUGGGUACUGGCGGCACUCCUGGGUACUGGAGGUACUCCUGGGUAUUGGAGGCACUCCUAGGUACUGGAGACACUCCUGGGUACUGGAGGCACUCCUGGGUACUGGGGGUACUCCUGGGUACUGGCGGCAGAAGCAUGUAGAUCUCUGUGAGUCCCAGGCAAGCCUGAUCUGCAAAGUGAGUUCCAGGCCAGUCACAGUGAGAUCUUGUUUCAGAAACAAAACUCAGUUGAUAACCUGUUUGCCUUGCAAAUAGGAGAACCCAAGUUUGAACCCCUGAACUUGUGUGAAGAAACAUUGGGGAGAGUGGUGCAUAUUUGUAACCCCAGAACUGAGGAGGCAGAGACAGGCAUAUCAUUAGAGCUCACUGACUAGCCAGCCUGGACUAUGGUAUGUUCAGGUCAGCAAAAGACCCUGUCUCAAAAAGGGUAGCUCUUGUCCUGUUUUGUUUUGUUUUUGUGGUAAGCUAGUGUUGGAUUGAUCCCUGGAGCCCAGAUAGUGGAAGAAGAGAGCUCACACCUAUAAGGUCUCUGACCUUCACAAGUACACUGUGGCAAAUGUAUGUGUAUGAACAAAAUAAACAGAAUUAUUUUUAAGCUUUAUUUUUGAGUCAAGGUCUCCUUACAGCAUUUGCUGGUCUGGAACGCCCUAUGUAGAUCAGGUUGGCCUUGAACUCUUACAGAUUUGCCUUCCUCGUGCAGUGAUUAAAGGCAUCAGCUAUCACACUCAGCAACACUGUGUGUGUGUGUGUGUCCCCUGGGCUCCGUACAGACAUGUAUACAUGCACUAGCACAAGCCUGUGAACACAAGUGUGCACACACACUAAAAAAAAGAGACAUACUUGAGUGUAAUGCAUGCAUGUUUGACUUCCUGAGAAGAAUACAUAUCUAUCUACUAUAAUUAGAGCACCAAUGACUGGCCAAACAAAUGAUUUCACCCAAAUCUAGUUUGGUAACCAAGUGAUUUAUUCAUGUUACAGGAAGAUGGGGGAGGACUCACAGAGUGCCAGUGACCUGGGCAACUCUAUCCUAGCAUGCCCAUUCCAGUGUAGAUGAGGACUCAUGACAGUUCCAUUGGUAGGUCCCUGCCCCAUUUGUAGGCAAAUCCACCAGAAACUUUCCUCUUGCCCAGCAAUGGUUUCCUGCCUAUGUACCUUGGAGACAGCCUUAUGAGCUUUGUACAUUUUGUUAGGUCUUUAGUCUUAAGUACCUUCCAUGAGGAGAGGAUGUUUUAACUCAGAAGAAAUAAUUAAACAGCCCAAGUGGUUCAAAGCAUGCUUCUAAAA